rnacentral:misc_RNA from 1 species
GAAAUGCGAUAAGUAAUGUGAAUUGCAGAAUUCAGUGAAUCAUCGAAUCUUUGAACGCACAUUGCGCCCGCCAGUAUUCUGGCGGGCAUGCCUGUUCGAGCGUCAUUUCAACCAUCAAGCCCCCGGCUUGUGUUGGGGACCUGCGGCUGCCCGCAGUCCCUGAAAAACAGUGGCGGGCUCGCUGUCACACCGAGCGUAGUAGCAUACAUUCUCGCUCAGGGCGUGCUGCGGGUUCCGGCCGUUAAACGACCUUCAUAACCCAAGGUUGACCUCGGAUCAGGUAGGAAGACCCGCUGAACUUAAGC